rnacentral:rRNA from 1 species
UACAUGCAAGUCGAGCGAGCGGAACUAACAGAUUUACUUCGGUAAUGACGUUAGGAAAGCGAGCGGCGGAUGGGUGAGUAACACGUGGGGAACCUGCCCCAUAGUCUGGGAUACCACUUGGAAACAGGUGCUAAUACCGGAUAAGAAAGCAGAUCGCAUGAUCAGCUUUUAAAAGGCGGCGUAAGCUGUCGCUAUGGGAUGGCCCCGUGGUGCAUUAGCUAGUUGGUAAGGUAAAGGCUUACCAAGGCGAUGAUGCAUAGCCGAGUUGAGAGACUGAUCGGCCACAUUGGGACUGAGACACGGCCCAAACUCCUACGGGAGGCAGCAGUAGGGAAUCUUCCACAAUGGACGCAAGUCUGAUGGAGCAACGCCGCGUGAGUGAAGAAGGUUUUCGGAUCGUAAAGCUCUGUUGUUGGUGAAGAAGGAUAGAGGUAGUAACUGGCCUUUAUUUGACGGUAAUCAACCAGAAAGUCACGGCUAACUACGUGCCAGCAGCCGCGGUAAUACGUAGGUGGCAAGCGUUGUCCGGAUUUAUUGGGCGUAAAGCGAGCGCAGGCGGAAGAAUAAGUCUGAUGUGAAAGCCCUCGGCUUAACCGAGGAACUGCAUCGGAAACUGUUUUUCUUGAGUGCAGAAGAGGAGAGUGGAACUCCAUGUGUAGCGGUGGAAUGCGUAGAUAUAUGGAAGAACACCAGUGGCGAAGGCGGCUCUCUGGUCUGCAACUGACGCUGAGGCUCGAAAGCAUGGGUAGCGAACAGG